GUCUAUGGCCAUGCUAUCCUGAACAAGCCCAAUCUUAUCUGACCUCAGAAGCUAAGCAGGAUUGGGCUUGAUUAGUACUUGGAUGGGAGACCACUUAGGAAUACCAGGUGCUGUAGGCA
rnacentral:rRNA from 1 species